UACGAAGGGGGCUAGCGUUGCUCGGAAUCACUGGGCGUAAAGCGCACGUAGGCGGCUUUCUAAGUCAGGGGUGAAAUCCUGGAGCUCAACUCCAGAACUGCCUUUGAUACUGGAGAGCUUGAGUUCGGGAGAGGUGAGUGGAACUGCGAGUGUAGAGGUGAAAUUCGUAGAUAUUCGCAAGAACACCAGUGGCGAAGGCGGCUCACUGGCCCGUUACUGACGCUGAGGCACGAAAGCGUGGGGAGCAAACAGG
rnacentral:rRNA from 1 species